rnacentral:rRNA from 1 species
CGGCGUACGGGUGAGUAACACGUGGGUGAUCUACCUCUUAGUGGGGAAUAACCCUGGGAAACCGGGGCUAAUACCGCAUAAGCCUUAGCAGGGAAAGCAGCAAUGCGCUGAGAGAGGAGCCCGCGGCUGAUUAGCUAGUUGGUGAGGUAAAGGCCCACCAAGGUAUAGAUCGGUAGCCGGCCUGAGAGGGCACACGGCCACACUGGCACUGAAACACGGCCCAG